rnacentral:misc_RNA from 1 species
GCGACGGUAGAGCCGUGCUGUUAGAAGUACUGUUUCGAGCUCCGCCGCUAGCGUCAUCUGUCGUAGACAGCGGAAAAGUUUGGUUGGUGGUUGGAAUGAUCGGUAGGAUGCUCGCUGGUGCGCAACAUGGCAUCUCGUCAAAAGGGCGUGGAAAAGUCGCGAAAGCCCGGCCAGCGUUGGUCGGGCACUUCUCCGUACUGCUGCGUGCAUGGCUGCCACAACAGUUACAGAAACACCGCUGGAAGACAGCCGCCCGUCAAGUUCUACCGGUUCCCAUGGAAGUCGUACGAAGCUGAAAGGAGGCAACGUUGGAUCGCGGCUGUGCGGCGCACAAGACCGAACGGCGAGCAGUGGCAUCCUAAGCGGAAUGAGACGCGCAUUUGCAGCGUCCACUUCGCUGGGAACGAAAAGAGUUCGAUUGCUGAGCACCCGGCGUACGUACCGACAUUGUUUCUGCCGUGCUACAAUAAACAUGAUGGUGUGUUGCCCCGGGCGAAGAAUAGAGGGCAGCAAAGGCUUCAGCAGCACAGCUCAUCUCUGCUAGUUGCUAAACCAUCGCCGUCACCCACUCCACUUGAAUAUCCAGACUUUGAGAUCAGAUAUGUUUCUGCGCCAACCCAGACAGAGAAUGACUCGUGCACGGGACCAUGCCAUCUGUUUCUUUCUACCAUCACCCAGUCUUCUGCCUCAACGCAAGUAUCACACGUCAGCGCCAUUGACAAAAGUGUGCAAUGAACUGUGCAGCAAGCGGUCCUGAGAAGCACAGUUGCGUGUUCCUCGGAUAACAAUGUCCCAUUCAGCAAUACCCAAGAUGCCAUGAAAUAAAUGAUUAGGGAUGUGAGCCAGGAAAAUGCUGCAGCAGCCAGGUGCCCUUUCUGACCAGAGUGCAGGUGAGCCAAGCGGUGCAGACAAAGUCAUGUUUGUAGGCUGGUACGUGAAAAUACCGCUCGGGGUGCCGAUACAAAAGAGCAAAUGUGGCUACUCUGGAAAUGACGCCUCGACCGUGUGAUGGGCCACGGUGUCUUAAGACACUGAGGGGUAGCUUGACAUCUUGGAGCCAUAUGGAGGAGCUUGAACUGCCCAAGUCUUACGUGACACGGAGGGGCGGGGUUGCAACCCAAGAAAAGCGGCCGCGAGACAACGAGAGAGGAGAGAUCAGGAGGUUCACGAGCAGCGGGAAGAAUUGGAGAGCGACCCCAGCAACAAACCCCGAGCCCCGACUCAACAGCCGGCCCCGAGGCCUCCAUCAACGGACCUUU